CGAAAGCUAGGGGAGCAAACAGGAUUAGAUACCCUGGUAGUCCUAGCCGUAAACGGUGCACACUUGCUGUAGGAGGAUUCGACCCCUUCUGUGGCGGAGCAAACGCGUUAAGUGUGCCGCCUGGGGAGUACGGUCGCAAGAUUAAAACUCAAAGAAAUUGACGGGGACCUGCACAAGCGGUGGAGUAUGUGGCUUAAUUCGAUGCAACGCGAAGAACCUUACCUGGCCUUGACAUGCAUCUCUAAGCGUGUGAAAGCACGUGACCCUUCGGGGAAUUUGCACAGGUGCUGCAUGGCUGUCGUCAGCUCGUGUCGUGAGAUGUUGGGUUAAGUCCCGCAACGAGCGCAACCCUUGUGUCCUGUUGCCACUUCCGCUAGCGCGGAAAGCACUCUGGACAGACUGCCUCGUCUCAACGAGGAGGAAGGUGGGGAUGACGUCAAGUCAGUAUGGCCCUUACGGCCAGGGCUGCACACGUACUACAAUGCCUGGUACAAUGGGAAGCAAUACCGUGAGGUGGAGCAAAUCCUCAAAACCAGGCCCAGUUCAGAUUGUAGUCUGCAACUCGACUACAUGAAGUCGGAAUCGCUAGUAAUGGCGCAUCAGCUACGGCGCCGUGAAUACGUUCCCAGGCCUUGUACACACCGCCCGUCACAUCAUGAAAGCCGGUUGUACCCGAAGUCGCUGAGCUAACCCGCAAGGGAGGCAAGUGCCGAAGGUAUGGCUGGUAAUUGGGAUGAAGUCGUAACAAGGUAGCCGUAGGGGAACCUGCGGCUG
rnacentral:rRNA from 1 species